rnacentral:snoRNA from 1 species
CCUGCUGCUGCAGCUGCUGCUGCUGCUGCAGCAGCAGCAGCAGCAGCAGCAGCAGCAGAAAAGGAGGGGCUUACUCUACAGACCGGAUAAUGUCGCUGUCUCCAGGGUCUGUCACAGCCAAACAAC